rnacentral:lncRNA from 1 species
UUAAAUGUGCUUCAUGUUGGACAUCAACUUCUGUUUUGACUUUUUGCUUUGCCUUUGACCCUAGUCUUUGCACUAGUGGUUUGUAUUCACCUUUUGAGCUUUGUAUUUCAGGUUCAAGCAAUUAGCUAAAUGGUUGAUGUGAUCUCAUUACUUGAGAUGCAAGUUACUUUGGUUAGCUAACUUUGAUUGUGUUGUAGGUCCUUUGGU